rnacentral:lncRNA from 1 species
GAAUAAUGCACCGAGGCACGUUUUUGUGAGUUUGAGCCUUUGAAGCCUACCCUUGAAUAUUAUAAUCCCUUGCUAGCCCCUUUGAGCCUUAUUGAAAGAAAAAUGUUUUGAUCUUACUUCUUUUUGAAAACCACAUAAUUUUAUUUUUUUUUAAAAAAAAGAUGAUUUUCUUGAAGUUGAUCACCUAACUUGUGAUUUGAGCACAAUGCUCAUCAUUAAGUUUGAGGUUGCUCUUGGGAUUUGCAACCUAUUAAGUUUGGGGUGGGGUACUAGAAAACUAAAAGAAAAAUAUUUUGAAAAAGUUUAUGAAAAAAAAAAUGAAGAGAAUGUCCCUCAAGAAAAGAAAGGAAAUGGUGAAAGAAAUGAAAAAUAAAUAAAUAAAGAGAAUGCAAAAUGCAUAACACCAUGUUUGGAAAAAAAAUGAAUAAAAAAAAAAUUGUCGAGGGACUUCUUUGAAGAAAAAAAAAAUGUGAGCAUGGAAUGAGUUCACACAUUGUGAAUUCAUUUGCAUGAG